AUUGAACGCUGGCGGCAGGCUUAACACAUGCAAGUCGAGCGGAGAUGAGGUGCUUGCACCUUAUCUUAGCGGCGGACGGGUGAGUAAUGCUUAGGAAUCUGCCUAUUAGUGGGGGACAACAUUCCGAAAGGAAUGCUAAUACCGCAUACGUCCUACGGGAGAAAGCAGGGGAUCUUCGGACCUUGCGCUAAUAGAUGAGCCUAAGUCGGAUUAGCUAGUUGGUGGGGUAAAGGCCUACCAAGGCGACGAUCUGUAGCGGGUCUGAGAGGAUGAUCCGCCACACUGGGACUGAGACACGGCCCAGACUCCUAUGGGAGGCAGCAGUGGGGAAUAUUGGACAAUGGGGGGAACCCUGAUCCAGCCAUGCCGCGUGUGUGAAGAAGGCCCUAUGGUUGUAAAGCACUUUAAGCGAGGAGGAGGCUACUGAGACUAAUACUCUUGGAUAGUGGACGUUACUCGCAGAAUAAGCACCGGCUAACUUCGUGCCAGCCGCCGCGGUAACAC
rnacentral:rRNA from 1 species